AUUGAACGCUGCGGCAGGCCUAACACAUGCAAGUCGCGCGGAUGAAGGGAGCUUGCUCCUGGAUUCAGCGGCGGACGGGUGAGUAAUGCCUAGGAAUCUGCCUGGUAGUGGGGGAUAACGUCCGGAAACGGGCGCUAAUACCGCAUACGUCCUGAGGGAGAAAGUGGGGGAUCUUCGGACCUCACGCUAUCAGAUGAGCCUAGGUCGGAUUAGCUAGUUGGUGGGGUAAAGGCCUACCAAGGCGACGAUCCGUAACUGGUCUGAGAGGAUGAUCAGUCACACUGGAACUGAGACACGGUCCAGACUCCUACGGGAGGCAGCAGUGGGGAAUAUUGGACAAAGGGCGAAAGCCUGAUCCAGCCAUGCCGCGUGUGUGAAGAAGGUCUUCGGAUUGUAAAGCACUUUAAGUUGGGAGGAAGGGCAGUAAGUUAAUACCUUGCUGUUUUGACGUUACCAACAGAAUAAGCACCGGCUAACUUCGUG
rnacentral:rRNA from 1 species